GACGAACGCUGGCGGCGUGCUUAACACAUGCAAGUCGAACGGAAAGGCCCUGCUUUUGUGGGGUGCUCGAGUGGCGAACGGGUGAGUAACACGUGAGUAACCUGCCCUUGACUUUGGGAUAACUUCAGGAAACUGGGGCUGAUACCGGAUAGGAGCUCCUGCUGCAUGGUGGGGGUUGGAAAGUUUCGGCGGUUGGGGAUGGACUCGCGGCUUAUCAGCUUGUUGGUGGGGUAGUGGCUUACCAAGGCUUUGACGGGUAGCCGGCCUGAGAGGGUGACCGGCCACAUUGGGACUGAGAUACGGCCCAGACUCCUACGGGAGGCAGCAGUGGGGAAUAUUGCACAAUGGGCGGAAGCCUGAUGCAGCAACGCCGCGUGCGGGAUGACGGCCUUCGGGUUGUAAACCGCUUUCGCCUGUGACGAAGCGUGAGUGACGGUAAUGGGUAAAGAAGCACCGGCUAACUACGUGCCAGCAGCCGCGGUGAUACGUAGGGUGCGAGCGUUGUCCGGAUUUAUUGGGCGUAAAGGGCUCGUAGGUGGUUGAUCGCGUCGGAAGUGUAAUCUUGGGGCUUAACCCUGAGCGUGCUUUCGAUACGGGUUGACUUGAGGAAGGUAGGGGAGAAUGGAAUUCCUGGUGGAGCGGUGGAAUGCGCAGAUAUCAGGAGGAACACCAGUGGCGAAGGCGGUUCUCUGGGCCUUUCCUGACGCUGAGGAGCGAAAGCGUGGGGAGCGAACAGGCUUAGAUACCCUGGUAGUCCACGCUGUAAACGGUGGGUACUAGGUGUGGGGUCCAUUCCACGGGUUCCGUGCCGUAGCUAACGCUUUAAGUACCCCGCCUGGGGAGUACGGCCGCAAGGCUAAGACUCAAAGGAAUUGACGGGGCCCCGCACAAGCGGCGGAGCAUGCGGAUUAAUUCGAUGCAACGCGUAGAACCUUACCUGGGUUUGACAUGGAUUCGGGAGCGCUCAGAGAUGGGUGUGCCUNCUUUUGGGGUCGGUUCACAGGUGGUGCAUGGCUGUCGUCAGCUCGUGUCGUGAGAUGUUGGGUUAAGUCCCGCAACGAGCGCAACCCUUGUUCACUGUUGCCAGCACGUUAUGGUGGGGACUCAGUGGAGACCGCCGGGGUCAACUCGGAGGAAGGUGGGGAUGACGUCAAGUCAUCAUGCCCCUUAUGUCCAGGGCUUCACGCAUGCUACAAUGGCUGGUACAGAGAGUGGCGAGCCUGUGAGGGUGAGCGAAUCUCGGAAAGCCGGUCUCAGUUCGGAUUGGGGUCUGCAACUCGACCUCAUGAAGUCGGAGUCGCUAGUAAUCGCAGAUCAGCAACGCUGCGGUGAAUACGUUCCCGGGGCUUGUACACACCGCCCGUCAAGUCAUGAAAGUUGGUAACACCCGAAGCCGGUGGCCUAACCGUUGUGGGGGAGCCGUCGAAGGUGGGACUGGUGAUUAGGACUAAGUCGUAACAAGGUAGCCGUACCGGAAGG
rnacentral:rRNA from 1 species